GUGCGAAAGCAGGUCAUAGUGAUCCGGUGGUUCUGAAUGGAAGGGCCAUCGCUCAACGGAUAAAAGGUACUCCGGGGAUAACAGGCUGAUACCGCCCAAGAGUUCAUAUCGACGGCGGUGUUUGGCACCUCGAUGUCGGCUCAUCACAUCCUGGGGCUGAAGUAGGUCCCAAGGGUAUGGCUGUUCGCCAUUUAAAGUGGUACGCGAGCUGGGUUUAGAACGUCGUGAGACAGUUCGGUCCCUAUCUGCCGUGGGCGCUGGAGAAUUGAGGGGGGCUGCUCCUAGUACGGAGAGGACCGGAGUGGACGCAUCACUGGUGUUCGGGUUGUCAUGCCAAUGGCACUGCCCGGUAGCUAAAUGCGGAAGAGAUAAGUGCUGAAAGCAUCUAAGCACGAAACUUGCCCCGAGAUGAGUUCUCCCUGAGACUUUAAGUCUCCUGAAGGAACGUU
rnacentral:rRNA from 1 species